rnacentral:lncRNA from 1 species
CUUAUUCUAACUACACUCACAAGUACUUCAGAGGGCUUAGCAAGGUCCAUGAGGACCAGGUGUUGGGUUAGGGUUAACACACUCCCCACCUCAUUGUCUUCAGGCCAGUUUCCUGCCUACCAGCCACAGCUUUUGUGCCUCCUCCUCCUUGCGUUCCUGUGUACUAGUCUGAGCCCUUGGUUCCAUGCUUGCCAACUUGAGCUUAAGAGGGGUGGUGCUGCCCACAGUUGGCUCUACAUUCAUCAUUCAGGGAAAUGCCUCAUGGACAUGUCCACAGACCAGCAUGAUGAAGCCAGUUCUUCAACUGAGUUCCUUCUUCCCAGUUAG